GAUGAACGCUGGCGGCGUGCCUAAUACAUGCAAGUCGAGCGAACAGAUGAGGAGCUUGCUCCUCUGACGUUAGCGGCGGACGGGUGAGUAACACGUGUAUAACCUACCUAUAAGACUGGGAUAACUUCGGGAAACCGGAGCUAAUACCGGAUAAUAUAUUGAACCGCAUGGUUCAAUAGUGAAAGACGGUUUUGCUGUCACUUAUAGAUGGAUCCGCGCCGCAUUAGCUAGUUGGUAAGGUAACGGCUUACCAAGGCAACGAUGCGUAGCCGACCUGAGAGGGUGAUCGGCCACAUUGGAACUGAGCCACGGACCAGACGACUACGGGAGGCAGCAGUAGGGAAUCUUAGGCAAUGGGCGAAAGCAUGACGGAGCAACGCCGAGUGAGUGAUGAAGGUCUUCGGAUCGUAAAACUCUGUUAUUAGGGAAGAACAAAUGUGUAAGUAACUAUGCACGUCUUGACGGUACCUAAUCAGAAAGCCACGGCUAACUACGUG
rnacentral:rRNA from 1 species